AUAAGUAUACUCAUUUGAUAGCAGUCAAAGUCAUUAGUGGAAUACUUUACUCCCUGGCUGAAUCAAUUGACCUGAUGAGGGCGUGUGUUGGACUUCUGCUGCUGGUGGUCAUGGCUACGGUUACGAGUCGGACAUUUCCAAAACUUCCAUGUAGGUCCACAUGCAGGAAAUAUUGUCCAUUUGGUUUCCUAGACGACGGUAAAUGUCCUAAGUGCACUUGUGUAAAGGCCCCUUUCAAAAGUGUUGACUGGUGGUCUUUAAAGUAAAGAGUGAUGUGUUAUUCAAUAAACUUGGUCAAUAGACCUAUAUAUUCUUA